rnacentral:rRNA from 1 species
GACGAACGCUGGCGGCGUGCCUAAUACAUGCAAGUCGAGCGAAUCAACAGGAGCUUGCUCCUGUUGAUUAGCGGCGGACGGGUGAGUAACACGUGGGCAACCUGCCUGUAAGACUGGGAUAACACCGGGAAACCGGUGCUAAUACCGGAUAAUCUUUUUCCUCUCAUGAGGAAAAACUGAAAGUCGGUUUCGGCUGACACUUACAGAUGGGCCCGCGGCGCAUUAGCUAGUUGGUGAGGUAACGGCUCACCAAGGCGACGAUGCGUAGCCGACCUGAGAGGGUGAUCGGCCACACUGGGACUGAGACACGGCCCAGACUCCUACGGGAGGCAGCAGUAGGGAAUCUUCCACAAUGGACGAAAGUCUGAUGGAGCAACGCCGCGUGAGCGAUGAAGGCCUUCGGGUCGUAAAGCUCUGUUGUUAGGGAAGAACAAGUACCGGAGUAACUGCCGGUACCUUGACGGUACCUAACCAGAAAGCCACGGCUAACUACGUGCCAGCCGCCGCGGUAA